rnacentral:rRNA from 1 species
AUUGAACGCUGGCGGCAGGCCUAACACAUGCAAGUCGAACGAGUGGCGGACGGGUGAGUAAUGUCUGGGAAACUGCCUGAUGGAGGGGGUUAACUACUGGAAACGGUAGCUAAUACCGCAUACCAUCAGAUGUGCCCAGAUGGGAUUUGCUUGUUGGUGGGGUAACGGCUCACAAAGGCGACGAUCCCUAACUGGACUGAGAGGAUGACCUGCCACCCUGGAACUUAGACACGGUCCAGAUUCCUACGGGAGGCAGCAGUGGGGAACAGUGCACAAUGGGCGCAAGCCUUAUGCAGCCAUGCCGCGUGUCUGAAGAAGGCCGUCGGGUUGUAAAGUACUUUCAGCGGGGAGGCGUUACCCGCAGAAGAAGCACCGGCUAACUCCGUGCCAGCAGCCGCGGUAAUAC